GAUCACUCUGGCUGAUGCAUGGAAAACAAAUGGGGCAGGUUGUGGCAGCAAGGAGGUGUUAGGAGAGUCUUGCAAUAAUCCAAGACAAAGGUAAUCAUGAUGGGGAUCAGGGUGGAAACAGGAAGGAGGGAAGUAAUCAGAUUCCAGAGAUAUUCUGAAGAUAUUGACAGCAACUGCUAGUAGGAGAGGGAGAACAAAAAUGCAAUAAUGACCAUACAAGGUUUUUGGCCUGACCAUCUGGAUGAUCAGUGACAUCAUCUAUUGAGAUGGGUGAGGCCAGCGGACUGGGACAGGUUUAAGUAUGGUGAGGUAAGCAGUAGCAAUCAUGAGUUCAAAAUUUGAGACAUCCAAGAGGAGGCAAGUGUCAAAUAGGCAGUUGGCAUUGUCAAUCUGAAGCUUAGAAGAGAAGACAGAGCUGGAGAUACUUUAGAGUUAUCAGCGUAUAAAUGGUGUUUAAUGCCUUAAGAAUGGACAAGGUCACUAAGGGAGUGAUUGUAGGAAGAGAAGAGGAGAGGACAAGAGAGGAAAGGAGAGAAUGAUUGGGGAAGAGAAGAGAAUGGGAAGGGAGAGGAGGAGACAUCUGGAAUGAGCAGCUAGCUAAGGAGAAAAGCCAGGGAAAUGUGGUGGUCCAGAAAGCAAGCGAAGGAAGUGUUUCAAGAUGGAUGCCGCCAAGAAGCAUUUAACAUGGUUAAUCACUAUUAACUAUGAAGGAUAAGAAUUGACCAUUGAGUUUGCAAAAGGAACGUGUGAAGACUGUUGACUAAAAGUGAGACUGGGUAAAUGAAUUUCCUUCAUAAACAGUCUGAGGCAGGGGAUGUACAGUGUCUGAUGGAGGGCUCGUAAUCACAGUUACUGUUGCUCCACUGGGAACAGGUCCUUUGCACCUCUGGAGUUACAGAAAUGGCAGCCCAGCAAAGAGUGAAGGAACAGCCAUCACCACUCAAAACAUGGUCACUGUGGCCUCAGAACCUUGGGAUUUGCCAGGCCCUUAGAUAAUGACUCAAAUGAAUGGACUCCUGAACUCUGGAGUGGAGGCUAGACCACAAAGAUAGAACUCGCAAAGGAAGUGGCUGAAGACUGCUUUUGUGACUUUUGUCUGCUCAUCCACCGCAGGACAGACACAAAGGACAGGCUCAGGGAUUGGAGGAUUCCUAAGUGAAGUG
rnacentral:lncRNA from 1 species